GUGCUUGCUUUGGCAGCAUGUAUAUUAAAAUCAGAAUGAUACACAUUAGCAUGGGCUUGUAUAAGGCUGACACAAAUUUCUGAAGUGUUCCAUGUUUUA
rnacentral:snRNA from 1 species